GAAGUGUGUUAGCAUUUCUAAUGAAGUGUGUUAGCAUUUCUGAGGAAGCGUGUUAGCAUUUCUGAGGAAGCGUGUUAGCAUGUCUGAGGAAGUGUGUUAGCAUUUCUAAUGAAGUGUGUUAGCAUUUCUGAUGAAGUGUGUUAGCAUUUCUGAUGGUGUGUUAGCGUUCCUGAGGAAACGUGUUAGCAUGUCUAAGGAAGUGUGUUAGCAUUUUUGAGGAAACGUUUUAGCAUUUGAGAGGAAUAUAUUUUGGAUGUAGGACUUGAAUCGAUUUUUUUAAAAUGAUCAUUUUAAUACUAGUACUGUUUAAUAGAAGAGAAGUGUGUUCGCUGUCUGCACUAAUCAUACAGCUAACAGAAGUGUGUUAGCGAGUUAGCGUAUCUGAGGCCGGUGUGGAUUUCCGACUGUGAUAAAGCCGUGAUGUACGUGAGGUGGGCGUGGCUCUCGGUGGUAGUGACUGUGCGAGAGAGACGUGAAGAGCGAGGUAAUCAGCUCUGAGCUGAGAGACAUGAUGAUGAUGAUGAUGAUGAGGAGGAGGAGGACGAUCAGUGGUGUAUUCAUGGUGCAGGCUGAAGUCCUCACUCAGCACGAGCUGACCUUCACUCCGCUCAACACACUGGCAGCCUUCCAACUCUCUCUCUAUCUCUCUCUCUCUAUCUCUCUCUCUCGCUCUACUUCUGCCUGUCCGACUCCCUUUCCUUCAUUCUGACUUUAUUGCUCUUUCACGCUACCUGUCUCUCUUUUUCAUUCAGUCUCUCUAUAUCGCUCUCUCUUUUUGUCUACCUGUCUGUCUCAUUCUAUUUCUGUCUGUUUCUACUUCUACCUGUCUGUCUCUAUUUCUGUCUAACUGUAUCUCUGCUUCUGUAUCUAUCUCUCUUUCAUUCUGUCUUUCAUUCUCUCUCUUAACUCCAACCAUUUGUCUUCCUCUCGUUCUGUCUCACUCUCGCUUUCAUUCUGUCUUUCAUUCUAACUCCACUUGACUGUCUUCCUCUCGUUCUGUCUCACUCUCGCUUUCAUUUUGUCUCUCUUCCUAACUCAACCUGUCUGUCUCUCAUUCUGUCUCACUCUCUCAUUCUGUCUCUCUUUCUAACUGUACCUGUCUGUCUCUCUCUUUCAUUCUGUCUUUAUUUCUAACUCUACCUGUCUGUCUCUCUCUCAUUCUGUCUCACUCACUCUUCCAAUAUGUCUCACUCUCUCUUUCAUUCUGUCUCUCUUUCUAACUCCACCUGUCUCUCUCUCUUUCAUUCUGUCUCUCUUUCUAACUCUACCUGUCUGUCUGUCUCUCAUUCUGUCUCACUCUCUCUUUCAUUCUCUCUCACUCUCUCUUUCAUUCUGUCUCUCUUUCUAACUCCACCUGUCUGCCUCGCGCUUUCAUUCUGUCUUUCUUUCUAACGCUGCCUGUCUGUCUCUCUCUCAUUCUGCCUCACUCUCUUUCAUUCUAUCUCUCUUUCUAACUCUACCUGUCUGUCUCUCUCUUUCAUUCUGUCUGUCUAUCUAACUCUUAACUAACUUGAUAUCUCUGCCUCACUCUAAUGUCCACUCUCUCUCUCGCUCUCUGUAUCUGUCUGUCUCUACCUGUCUGUCUUUUUCUUUCUCUUACUUCUCUUCUCUGAUAUCGUCUCGCUUUCUACCUUUCUAUCGCUCUCUCUCUCUCUCUCUCUGUCUUGCUCUCUCAUUCCUUUCUCUCUCAGUAUCUUUUCAUCUUUCUCCCUUUCACAUCUAUUUCUUUGUCUCCAUCUCUCACUCACACUCUAUAUUUCUCUUUUUCUAUAUCUCUUCUACGCUUUCUUUCUCUCUCUUUUCAGUUCAGUACGGAUCAAGUCAAGGUUUUUUUUCAGCAUAACUAACAAAAGUACGUUUCUUUUGCCAACCUCGUCUUUACAGAUCGGGAAUGUGAAAUAAAAAAAGGAAUACUACUACUAAUAAAAAUCAUGUUUUUUAACAUUAUUUUCUCUUAUGCUUGUUUUUGUCGUUGUCUCGCGCUUUCUCUCCAUCAGCAGCGGGUGGAUGGAUCAGGGGAAGCUCUGUGGAUGGAGUCUGUGUGAUGUUUAGAUAAGGGAUGGGGGAAGUGUUUUAAAAGUAAAUAAAGGCUAUAGUGUGUGUGUGUGUGUGUGUGUGUGUGUGUGUGUGUGUGUGUGUGUGUGUGUGCGUGUGUGUGUCUGGAUCAAGAGGAAGGACCGGGCUCAUUUAACCCUCCCCCAGUGGUGCAUAUGCACAUGUGGCAGAAUGUGGCGCCUGUGUGUGUGUGUGUGUGUGUGUGUGUGUGUGUGUGUUUGUGUGUGUUUGUGUGCGUACUCGUGUGCACAGCUGUGAGCCAGAGAUGAACACAUAUCAACACAUAUCUGUGAAAGUGUGACAGCACCGUCCCUUCCGUUAGCUUGCACACACUACGUGAAGCCUCACACACACACACACACACACACACACACCACACACACACACACCCCCGAGCUCUUCAGUAUCUUAUCAGUCUGCCGAUACAGGACCCGUAGCAAUCCGUCUCACACUCGAGAUCCUCUCCAUCGCCUCUUUUUCAGCGUGCGCUGAUAAACGCAUUUAAUUAGCAUAUUAAAAACCAGCUAAUGUCAGGACUUAGAGAUACUCAGUGCUCUCCGACUCAAAGAACACAGCAAUCACACUUGGAUGUGGACCAGAACAGUCGGCGUCUAGGUCCGAAUGGUCUUGGUCCCACUUUGUUGUAGUGACAAAGUGAUUCGACUGAAUCAACUCUGAAUCUGUAUCAACUAAAGGAAGUCUACUGCAGUGGGAAACUGAUUUGACUCUGAUUUGACUCUGAAUCAAAUCUGAAUCGACUGCAGAAGUUUAUUGCAGUAAGAAAGUGAUUUGUCUCUGAAUCGACUCUGAAUCUGAAUCAACUGCAGGAAGCCUAUUGCAGUGAGAAAGUGAUUUGACUCUGAAUCAAAUCUAAAUCUGAACCGACCAAAGGAAGUCUAUUGCAGUGAGAAAGUGAUCUGACUCUGAAUUGACCCUGAAUUAAAUCUGAAUCGACUGAAGGAAGCCUCUUUGCAGUUAGAAAGCGAUUUGGUUCUGAAUCAACUCUGAAUCAACUGAAGGAAGUCUACUGCAGUGAGAAAGUGGUCUGAUUCUGAAUCGACUAUGAAUCAACUCUGAAUCUGAAUCGACUGAAGGAGGUCUACUGCAGUGGGAAAGUGUUCUGACUCUGAACCAACUCUGAAUCAAAUCUGAAUCAACUGCAGAAGUUUAUUGCAGUGAGAAAGUGAUUUGACUCUGAAUCAAAUCUGAAUCAGGUGCAGGAAGUGAACCAAACAUGCUGUGUAUUUGGGUUGCAGCAUUUAUAUUAGAGGUUAAACUGAGCCAAAGGACAGAGCUGUAGUGCUGCAGAAAUGCUGUGUAUUCUGGAGAUUUGGAAUGAUAAUAAACAAACAAACAAACAAACACUGGAUUUGAUAUAUGAAGCGUUUUAAAUGAGCUAUUUCUAUAAUUAUCUAUUAAUUUAAAAUUUUUAAUCGUUUUACACACAAAAAGGACUUAAUAUAAAUGUCCAGCGGUCUCCGGCUCGGGUUUGUUACAUGUUUAAAAACGAGAAGACGAUAAAAUCCACUUGACUUGACCUUCAGAAUUGAAAUUGAUUGACAGGAGAGCUACAUGGAAAUAUCAGUUCUCGGUAUCGACCUCCGCUAGCGUCUGAUGUAGCGCGCCAUGCUGAGGUUUGGAUUACCGACUCGGCGGACUGAUCUCGCUGUGUGUUGGCUUGCGUGUGGAGUCGUGUGUGUGAGUGUGUGUGUUUGCAUCGGCCCGUGCUUAUUGAUGAUGAAUUCCGGGGCUAAAACGUUGGCAGUGUGUGCGUCUGCUUUAAUCAGCCAUCUGCUCUGUCAGCCCGAGGCUGUGCUAAUAAGCAUUUCUCUCCAAAGCAGUGCAUGUGCUUUGUAUGUGUUUGUAUAUAUACGCGAGAGUACGAGUGUGUGCGUGUGUGAUUUUGUUUACCCGAGUGUACUUGCAGGGCUCGUUUUGUUGAAACGAGGUCGUCUUUUUUGAUUGGAUCUGUUUGGAAGUUCUCCUCACGUCUGCAGGUAAAAAAAAAACCUGGACUGCAUUAAACUUCUCGUGUAGUCUGGAGAUGUGUGUUUACGGAAAUUCACUCGUUUCCUCGAUCUGAGUUUGGGCCUUAUUUCUUCAUCUUUCCAGCGAGCGAGCGAGCGAGCGAACAAGUGAGCGAGUUAACCGGCUUAAGUUUAGUUAUCUAAAUAAUAUGCUUACAGAUUAACAGCUUAUUUUAUUUCUUACGUUAUUUUAUAAAGUCUUACAAACUACCAGGAGGCUAAUUAGCUAUGUAGCUGUUUAUGCUUAGCUACUUCAGUCGCAAUCUUUUACUGUAAUCCUGGCCAGCUAUCUACAUUUAGUAUCUUACCUUCAUGCUAGCUAUUUAUUUAUUUCAUUUAUUCGUGUGUUCAACUUAUCUGGCACUUUAAUCACCCUUUAAAGUUAGAUUUCAUACCGUUAUCUUCAAGCUAGCUCUGUUUAGUACAGGUAUGUUCAAGCUAGCUAUAUUUAGUACCUUAUCUCAUGUCACUAUUUGCUAGUCAUACAUAUAUUUAGCUAAUAAACCCAAUGGAAACCCCUUAUUAUAAAGUUACCUUAUCAUAUUUCGAUAUAAGCUAGUCAUCCUAAUGUUUAGCUAACAUACACCGACAGCAACCCCUCACUAUAAUGCUAGCCAGGUAACACUAUUUAGUACCUUAUUUUAACCUAGCUGUAUUUAGUACUGUUAUCUAUAUCUAGCUAUAUUUCAUUUCUUAUAAUCAAGCUAGCAAUAUUUAGUAUCUCACGUUCCAUCUAGCUAUAAUUAGUACCUUAGCUAGUCAUCCUUAUGUUUAGCUAACAUACACCAACAGCAGCCCCUCAUUAUAAAGUCAGUCAGGUAACUAUAUUUAUUCACUCAUUUUAAGCUAGCUAUAUUUAGUACGGCUAUUUUAAGCUAGCCAUAUGUAGUACUGUUAUCUUCAGUCUAGCUGUAUGUAGUCUCUUAUCAACAAACUAGCAAUAUUUAGUAUCUUACGUUCAAUCUAGCUAUAUUCAGUACCUUAUCUCGUCGCUAUUUGCGACUAGCCUCGGAAACCGCACGCUAUCAUGUCAGUUUAGUUACGCCGCUGUUUGCUAGACAGCAAACGUGAGCUAGCUAACUACUGUGGCCAACAGUUCAGCUAGCAAGGCUCUUAUACAGACAGAGUAAAGGCAAAGUGAUAGUGAAAAUUACACCGUGAUUUUAUACUUUACACUAACGGUUUGUCAUCAUCUUGUGGAAACUUGUCGAAACACUCAGUAAGAGUGCAUUUCCAUGGAAUGUAGCAGGUGUGUGUAGGACACGUUAUUAUUUAUUUUUUUGCUGAUGAUAUCAUAUCGCUCCUUUCAAAAUGUUCACUGGAGCAGAAAAUGCUAGGAACAAACAAAAGAACAGCACUUAGAUGGAAACUUCUUUCUCUCUCUCUGUCUGUCUCUCUCUCUCUGAAACGACUGAAAUCCACAGAACUUUUCAUUUUCAUCUCACUGAGAUGUCACGUGCCAGAUCCUCCGUGUUUCUUUUCGAAAUAAAACACACUAAUCACCGCCGAGAUUAGCUGUAUAGUUACAACCCACUAGUUAAUGUAAUGUAGGGCUAGCUGGAGACAUUUAUGUUAGCUAGCUAACUAGCUUUUAGGGUUUUUUGUUUUGUUUUUAUACACAGCUAGGUGGCGCUGCACACAGGCUCGAUCGCAAGGGAACAACUUUUGAUACCUCGAUUUUUUGCGCAUAAAUUUGUAUAUAAAUUGCUUUGGCUAACCUUUCCAGUGUGCUAGCUAGCUUGUUAAGGUUUGCUAGAAAUGGUAGGUGAUGCAGAAGCAAAACUUUAUGGUUGUACCGUGGCUAAUCUUUCUCAGCGAUUUCUCAGCGUUUAAGGAUGCGAGAAUUUCUUUGUUUUACUUUAUUUAUGGUCAAACUUUUUUUUUUUUUUAAAUGGUUAUACAGUAUACGUAGCAUACGGACGAGCGCUAGCUGUGCUGUGCUGAGUAUCGUUCGUGGUAACUAGCUAGCUAACUCAGUUACCUCAGUCUACGUGACGUCGCUCCACAUAGACAUAUUUAUAUUUUCCUGAAAUAAGGAAUUAACAAGUUUUUAUUGUGAACGGAGCUGUCCGUGUUAUACGAAUGCUAGCUGUGCUUGGCGUCACUGAAAUGCUAAGAGGAAUACGGGAAGAGGAGAGAGGCAGGGAGGGGGUGCAGCAAGCUCUGUACUCUGUGUUCUAUAAAUAAAUAAAUUGUAAAAACAAUAAAAAAUUCCCACGAAGCGGUCGUAACAUCCCGUAACAGACUGGGCCAAUUUUGUGGACGAAGGUUGCCAGAUAGUGAAAUAUACUUCAGCCGGCGGUUCACGAACGCCUCUGGAGGCCGAGGUUGUUCAACUUUAUUGUUCUUCCCUCGACUCAUUUCUCAGAGGUCGAAAAGAGUGUGUAGUCAUGUAGUGGGAGCAAACCGCUCGGACUUUCCACGAGCGUGUGUGUGUGUGUGUGUGUGUGUGUGUGUGGCAAGAGGAGGGACUUAUCUGUUUUUCCCCCUGAGUCCAUGGUUUGUUUGUUUUAAUGGCCGCCUUUUUUGGUAUUGUGCCCUUUUAAAGAACGGCUUCCCGUGUGGCUACGCGGCUAACGGGAGGAAAGGAUGGAAACACACACACACACACACACACACACACACACACACACACAGAGCCAAAAACACACACCCUAAAAGUGCACGUCCUUCAGGGCACUCGAAGGAGGAAGAAAGUAAGAAAGGGGGAUGGUGGUGUGUGUGUGUGUGUGUGUGGGGGGUGUUGGUUUGGGAUGGGGGGCACUUCUUUCGAGAAUACACUAAUGCACCUUAUCCUGUCCAUAAAACAACCCCCCGCCCCACCACAAAACCCCACCCACAGUUAUGGACCACGAGUGGGUGGAGUUUAAUUCUGUCCUCAGGCGUUUCCUGUUGCUUUAGCUGAUGUUCUAGAUGCAGGAACAGCAGGCAGACCCACUGGCAGGACUGUUACAUGUGUGUGUGUGUGUGUGUGUGUGUGUGUGUACCCCUUCCCCACCCGUGACCUUUGACCUGUACACCUCCAGCUGAGUCACUCACACACUACCACAGUAGGUCUUUCAGAAAGAAGGAAAAAUAGAGAGAAAAGUGUUGACAUGACUUUCUAAUGUGUGUGUGUGUGUGUGUGUGUGUGUGUGUGUGUGUGUGUGUGUGUGUGUGUGUGUGUGGAAGCUGCCAGAGGGGAGUAAAGGGAAAAGUGUCAGAAAAACAGUGUGUGACUGGGAGAGAAAGAAAGGAGGGAGCAAAAAAAUUGUCAGAAACGGGGACACACAGUGGAAAACAAACCCGAAAAGGUAGAGAGACGUAGAGGAAGAGAGAAAACGAGUGAGUCAGGGGAGAGGGCAUGAAAUGGAGAGAGAGAUGAAAAGAGAUGGAAGGACAGGAAAAGAAAAGAAGGGGACAGACAAGGAAAGAGAGGGAGAGGACAGACGUGAUGAGAAAAACAGAUGGAGGCGUUGAAAGGAAGACAGAACGAGGGAGUGAGAAAGAAAGGGACGAAAAGGGACUGAAAAAAGGAGAGGUGGCGUGUUGAAAAGCGAGACAGAGAAAUAGAUGGGGAGAUAAAGAUAAAUCGGAUGAGAGACAGAGAGAGAGUAGAGGGACAGCAGGAGAAAGGAAAGUGGGAAGAAACAUGAGAGAGAGGGAUGAGAGAGAGAGAGAAGGAGAAACAGAAAGACGUGAUUAAAAAAGCCUAGAUAGAGAAGGACAAAGAGAAACAGACAGCAAGAGAGGGAAAGGAAGGAGGGAAGAAUACGAGAAAGAGUUAGAGUGAGAGAGGGAGAGAGAGAGAGAGAGAGGGGGAAAGGAAAGAGGGAAGAAUACGAGAAAGAGUCAGAGUGAGAGAGGUACACAGAGGGAGAGAGAGAGAGAGAGGGAAAGGAAAGAGGGAAGAAUAUGAGAAACAGUCAGAGUGAGAGAGGUACACAGAGGGAGAGAGAGAGAGAGAGAGAGAGGGAAAGGAAAGAGGGAAGAAUAUGAGAAACAGUCAGAGUGAGAGAGGUACACAGAGGGGGGGAGAGAGAGAGAGAGAGAGAGGGAAAGGAAAGAGGGAAGAAUACGAGAAAGAGUCAGAGUGAGAGAGGUACACAGAGGGAGAGAGAGGUGGAAAGGAAAGGGGGAAGGAGGAAGAAGAAGAAGAAUUACGGAAUAAGAGGUAGAGGCGUCGAUAAGGACAGAGAGAAACGGAUUGAGAGAGAAAGAAAGAGGGAAGAAUAAAAGAAAAUGAGAUGAAGGACUAGAAUAGAAGAGAGAGAGAGGGAGAGAGAGGGCGAGAGAGCAUGUUUAAACUCUGGAGCUGUAAUCCCGGAUAAAACCACCAGCGAUCAAAACAUGCCAUCAGUCUCUCUCUCUCUCCCUCUCCUCCCUCCUCCCUUCUUUUCCUCGGCAUAAUAGAGUCGUCUCUACGUGCUGCCCGAGCUCAACCUCUCUCUCUCUCUCUCUCUCUCUCUCUCUCUCUCUCUCUCUCUCUCUCUCUCCACAUUGGCAGUGUCCAUAUGGAACAGUUUAUCUAGGAGCCGCAGUUUUUGUGCCCAUUAAAGCCGAGUUGCUUUAGGAAAGAAAGAGACACUUGGAGCAGAAAGGAAGAGAAAAAAACGAUGAAAACCUCUUUAUUAUGAUCGAGCAGAACCACGGCAGCUCGGCCGACACUCAACCUCUUGCUCUGUGUGUGUGUGUGUGUGUGUGUGUGUGUGUGUGUGUGUGUGUGUGUGGUUCACCCACAGAUGUUCUUGAUUUAGAGCAGCACACGUGGAUGGAGAAGAUAAACACACCGUUGAGACUUACGCACUGUACUUCUGCUUUACUAGCGCUAAGCGUUACUGUUCGGCGGUUAUCGUUACAGUUAAAGACGUAAACAUCGUUCCAAACAUUUAUUUAUUUUUUUUUAAAUCUCUUCGUAAACAUUUCCUAAAGCGUACGUUUGAGACGUAUCGAUUCUUAAAUCUCCUGUCAACUUAUCAUUUCCUUCUCUAAGAUUAGCUUCGUAGCAUUAGCCGCGAUUUGAGAGAUUUCUCGA
ensembl:lncRNA